ensembl:lncRNA
GUUAAUGCUUUUUAAUUCACUCUGUUUCCCAGUUGUCGUUUUUUAUUGAAAAGGCGGAUUCUGCCGGUGUGUGUUCCUUUGCGGGGGCGGGGUGGGGGGUGCUUCACCAACAGAGAUCCGAGGAGAGGCAGAGACAGAGACAAAGGCGGUGCGAGACACCGGGCAAGGAGUCAAUAGGGUCAGAGAGCGAGAAAGAAGAGAGACUGGAAACGGGAGCCGGGACAGGGGGACACACAGAGACCCCAAGAAAGGGGAAGGGAGGGAAGAGCAAGUGUGCUGAGAAAUCCUGCUCCGGGGGAUCCAGGGCGGACCCUGCCACCUCCAGCUCCUGGGGCUUUCUCCGGCUCUCUGGUUCCCUUCCGCGUAGACUAGGCGAGUUGGGCGCCGGGAGUGGACUGGAAGUCGCCACGGACCGAGUACGCAGGACCAGGGUCUUCGAGGGCUAGGGAUCCGCGAUCCGACAAAGAGGACCCGGGAGUCGGAAGCGUUCCGCUCCUGCCUCCGCAGUUCCGUUUUAGAGCCGACCCCAAUCCUGCGCUGCGGUUCCCCUGGCCUGCUGCGCCGCCUGGAACAAGCGCCCCGACCUCUCUGAGCCCUGGCUCUGCCACCUGUGGACAGAGAGGCCUGCUGCUGGCCGAGGGGCUAAACGGCUCGAGGGCGUGGGGAGCAGAGCUGCGUCAACACCGCGGCUCCGCGGUUAGGGCAGAAAUCCUGGGAUUUUCGGUCUGGGCCGCUGCCCCGGGGUGGUGGUGGGGGCUCAUGUUUAUGCAGGACUGGCGGGGACGGGAGACAGCGGGGCCCGGGCGCUUCCUUCCUUCGCAGCUGAGAACCAUUUGGUUCUCCUCCCACCGCGCCACCGCCCCUCUCCCUUUCCGCGCCAGGUUCGUGCUCAGACGCGUGAGUGUGAACACACACCCGCGGACACACAAAGACGCUCACAGCCCAGCACGUGGCGGAGGUGUAGACGCUGGGUGGUGGCGUGGGCACACAGGCGACGCGAGGUCCUGGGGACUGGGAUAGAGCCGGUUCCCUGGGCGGAGAGGGUGCGUUCAACCGGCGCGGCUCUCAGGCCUGGAGCCUAAGAACUGAAAAAGCCCGGGAUAAUUAGAGCUAAUUACACGUGUGCACACAGCUGCAGCCUCGGGCGCAGGCGAGGGGGCCGUACGGGCCACCCCUCCCGCGGCCUGACCCCCGCGAUCCUGCCCAGCGUGGGGAGGGGGUGGAGUGGCGCAUCUGGGUGCGGGUCGGAAGAGGCAGGGUGGGAUCCCGCGGGCGGAGAGGCCCCGGCGUCCGGAGUCGGGGUGAGCCCUCUGCCUCCAAAGAGAGGCCCUCAUCACACCCGGGUGCAGCCAGGGACGCCCAGGGAUGGCAGUGUGGCCGAGCUAGAAGCUAGGACCAGAAUUGGGGUCCGAGUACCCUUGGCCUUAUGCUGAGCGGGCCCAAGCGGGAGGUCCGGAGCUUAUGGGCUUCGAUAGUUUCAGACUCCUGAGCACUCCGGUCUCUGCAGAAGGCUCAUGCGUACCCAGUCGGCAGAGGUCAGUGCUGCCAGGGACCUGAGGCCGCUGGACCAGGAAGGGACAGUCCGGUGCUGGUGUCAGGAGACCAUUCCGUGUAUGCCCGAAUGAGCCACAAGACCCCCGAAAGGGCGACCUCUCUGAGCCUUCGUUUGCGCUUCUGUAAAAUGGGAAUGCGGAGAUCCCUGCGUGCUGACUCCGAGGGGCUUCGGAUGCAGAGUCCAAAAAGAGUGAGAAAGGAGCGAAUUUCUACGUGUGGAUGAGGGUUUAGAGUUUGCACUGCUAGUCUGAAUCAGCGUUCUCAUUUUGUGGUUUCAGGAGCCUUUGGCGGACUGGGUUAGAGCAGCAUCGGUGGAGGGAGUUAUAUUUUUGUAUUUUAUAACUGACGCUCAGAGAGGUCGAACGUCUCAGGGCAGGUCACACAGCGGGAAGAGGCAGCUGACUUUCCGGACUUCACAUUUCAAAUUCAGACUCGGCGCAACUCUCCUCCACCCGUCCUGGUCGCCCCUGGAACCCGGGCACCCCCCGGCGCUCUGCGGAGCCUGGUUGCUGUAAGAGUACGGAACGCGAUCUCUCGCGGUGGGUUCCGCCGCCCCAGCUCGCUGUGAGCCCAUGGCGCCCCCUUGCGCUCGUGGCCGGAGGCGCACCCGGCUCCUGGCCUGGCCCCUGCCGUCUAGCAUCUGACUCCUCCGCCUCAGUUUGCGAUGAUGCUGGAGAGGGUUGAUGAGCUUCAGACAGGGUGACUGGAGGUCACACAGGGAUGCGCUUCGUAUACCGUGUACUUCGUAAACUGUAAAGCAUGAGAGCACAUCCUGGUAUGGGGUCUCACAGAGUCGGACACGACUGAAGCGACUUAGCAGCAGCAGCAGCAGCAGCAGAGGUACAAUGUGGCUGGGCCUCCAAGCCCCUUCCUUCUCCCAGUUCCAACGCUGCAAUGGCUCAACAAAGAAUAACUUCUUCAUCUGCCAGAUGGGGCAGUCUGGCAGGCUUCCUGGAAGAAGUGGAUUGAACUUGCAGGACUAAUAGAGGGGAAUUAGGGCAACAGCUGGCUAGAGGCUGAAAGGUGGAGACUGAGACAGAGGAAGACCCUCCAGUGAUUAUGGGUGGUAUGGCAGGGACUUGGGGGUCCUGCUCCAGUCUGCCCCUGAAACACACACAACCCAGGACUGGAAAUGGGGACCAGGGGGACUAC